rnacentral:misc_RNA from 1 species
UUUCCGUAGGUGAACCUGCGGAAGGAUCAUUGUUGUAUAACCGAGGUGCGAGGGCUGUCGCUGACCCGAAAGGUCGUGCACGCCCGAGUACCCUCACACACAUCCAUCUCACCCCUAUGUGCACCACCGCGUGGGUCCCCCUUUGGCUUGUUCGGAGGGGGGCUUACGUUUUCACACAAACUUUGUAUGCAGUGUAGAAUGUAUUUUUUGUUUUUGCGAUCACGCAAUCAAUACAACUUUCAACAACGGAUCUCUUGGCUCUC